rnacentral:rRNA from 1 species
CGGAGGGUGCAAGCGUUAUCCGGAUUCACUGGGUUUAAAGGGUGCAUAGGUGGGCAGGUAAGUCAGUGGUGAAAUCUCCGGGCUUAACCCGGAAACUGCCAUUGAUACUAUUUGUCUUGAAUACUGUGGAGGUCAGUGGAAUAUGUCAUGUAGCGGUGAAAUGCUUAGAUAUGACAUAGAACACCAAUUGCGAAGGCAGCUGGCUACACAAAUAUUGACACUGAGGCACGAAAGCGUGGGGAUCAAACAGGAUUAGAUACCCUGGUAGUCCACGCCCUAAACUAUGGAUACUCGACAUUUGCGAUAAACUGCAAGUGUCUGAGCGAAAGCAUUAAGUAUCCCACCUGGGAAGUACGAUCGCAAGAUUG